rnacentral:rRNA from 1 species
GGAUGGCCCUGUUGCAGGACUAAAGACCGCUUUCUAAUCCAUUGAUCUUCGGAUUAAUAUUCAUAACAUCUGGCCUCAAAUCAGGUAGGACUACCCGCUGAACUUAAGCAUAUCAAUAAGCGGAGGAAAAGAAACUAACAAGGAUUCCCCUAGUAACGGCGAGUGAAGCGGGAAGAGCUCAAAUUUGAAAUCUGGUAGCCUUCGGUUGCCCGAGUUGUAAUCUAGAGAAGUGUUUUCCGCGUUGGCCCAUGUACAAGUCCCUUGGAACAGGGCGUCAUAGAGGGUGAGAAUCCCGUCCUUGACAUGGACCCCCAAUGCUUUGUGAUACACUUUCAACGAGUCGAGUUGUUUGGGAAUGCAGCUCAAAAUGGGUGGUGAAUUCCAUCUAAAGCUAAAUAUUGGCGAGAGACCGAUAGCGAACAAGUACCGUGAGGGAAAGAUGAAAAGCACUUUGGAAAGAGAGUUAAACAGUACGUGAAAUUGUUGAAAGGGAAACGAUUGAAGUCAGUCAUGCUCUUUGGAUUAAGCCGUUCUGCGGUGUAUUUCAUUGAGCGGGGUCAACAUCAGUUUUGAUCGCUGGAAAAGGGCAGGAGGAAGGUAGCACUCUCGGGUGAACUUAUAGCCUCUUGUCGUAUACAGUGAUUGGGACUGAGGAACGCAGCAUGCCUUUUGGCCGGGAUUCGUCCACGUACAUGCUAGGAUGUGAC